rnacentral:lncRNA from 1 species
UGAAAACAACAUCUGAACAAUAGACCUUAGUUGUGUCAGUAAUAAAAAACUGUAUACUGAAAUUGGAUGUAAACCUAUUUACGGUAAUGAUUCAAAUUCUUGUCCAGUGGCAUAUGAUUGUGAUAAAGUGUUUUCAAGACCAAUUAACAAGUGUUAUCUGAAUGGAAAUGUUUACGAGCCAGUUGAUAGACUUUCUAAAACUGACUCAGCAUUGAACCCAUGUUUUGCCGCCUGCUUUUGCGAUCAGAAGACAUAUGAUAAGUAUGAUCGCAUUUAUAUU